rnacentral:lncRNA from 1 species
AGUCUUGUGGGAAAAUUUGAAACUAUUUGGCCUUAUACAAAAUAAUAAUCUAAAAUGAUGAGGCAUUAUAAAUUAGAACAGUUGAACUUGUAGCAGUAUUUUUAAAUAAAUCUAUUAAUUUAAUCUGAAGUGCUUUUAUCUCCCUCAAUAGAAAUAAAAUCAUCAAAAAAUAUAUCUUUAAAAAAUAAUUAUAAAAAAUUAUCAAUUAUAAUCAAAUAAUUGUUUCAUAUCCUUUAUUGCAAUUUCUGAAUUUUGAUAAAAAUAGCUUUACAUGAUUGACCAAUUCUCCUCUUCACUUGAAUGUUUCCCUGUUGAAAGAUGAAAUUAUGAUAAAGUAAGAAUUAAGGUGGUACCCAACACUUUGACUUAAAUUAAUAUAACUUUUAAUUUCAUAAAAUUCUGACAAAAUAUUAACUUUGACCCUUUGAAAAAGAUAUAAGAAUUUCAAAAAACUUGAACUAAUCACUUUAACAGAAAAAUUUCAUUGUAUAUAUAGCAGGUUGACAAACAUUAAUUUUGAUCAUUGAGAAGUUUUAUAUUUUCCUAAACAAUAGAAAGUGAUUAUAAAACGUUUAGUUGAUUUUACAGAGUUAUCUCCCUGUAGUGUUAGGUACCACCUUAAGUAUCCCAUAAAUAUUUAACAAUAACCUUGACCAUCCUUGACAUUCCAAAACUUGAUUCCAGUUAUGCAUAUAAUGUACCCUAAUGUAGUUUAUAUUCAGAAUUUCGCUAUUUCAAAGUCAAAACCUAGUAGCAGAUAUAAGACUUGCAUUUUAUUCUUGUCUUUGAUUGUCAUAUAUGUUUCAGAUAAAAAUUAACGGAAAAAACUAGUGAGAAUAAACCCCUCAUGAAAAUAUAUCAUUUUAUAGUAUACAGUGACCAUAUUUUCUGAUUUGUUAUCAGAUAGUUUUUGUCACACUGUACAGGGUAUUCCAUACUUGUCCUUUGGUUUUAUUGUGUAACACUAUCGUUCUUUGUUCUUUUUAAAAAAUGAUACGGGAAAAAGAUUUCUAUGGUAAAGUGUAUACCUCCAUAAUAUUACAUGAGUAAAUGGGCUUAUGUGUAAAAAAUCUAGUUUCAUUUCUUAUUCCCCUACCUAAAAAUGUCACCAAAAAAAUGUUGUUUAAAAAAUUUUUAAAAAUGGGUCAAACUAUUUCCUCUGUUUUAAUAUUGCAAAAUGUUAACCUUGAUAUUAAUUAAAAAUACAUUUUCAAUAAUCCAGAUUGUCAUUUAAUUGAUAUGUGAGUAAUUUGGAAUACUUAUACAUGUACCGUAUUAGUAAGUUUGUAUUUCAUUAAGAUUGAAUGUUGCAAGCCAGUUUUGUAUAAGAUUAUAAUGCAUUUUUGAACAGAAACACCUAUGUGUAAUUUUACGUAAAUAAUUUGUUUGAUAGAUUUUAUAAAAUUAUGUUAGUGAGCCUGAAGGUCAUGUGAUAUGUGAUCUGUGGUGGGUCACAUGACCAGUGAUCCAUGAUGAGUCAUGUGAUAUGUGAUCUAUGGUGAGUCACAUGACCAGUGAUCCAUGAUGGGUCAUGUGAUAUGUGUUCUGUGGUGGGUCACAUGACCAGUGACCCAUGAUGGGUCAUGUGAUAUGUGAUCUGUGGUGUGUCACAUGACCAGUGAUCCAUGAUAGAUCAUGUGAUCAGUGAGUCCUAAAGGCUGUGUGAUCAUUUGUAUGUGAUCUUCAUAAAAUAUUUUAUGUUUAGACAAUAAUAAAAUGUUGAUCCUUGUGGAUUUCUAAUGAAAUG